rnacentral:rRNA from 1 species
CCUACGGGGGGCAGCAGUGGGGAAUAUUGCACAAUGGGGGAAACCCUGAUGCAGCGAUGCCGCGUGGAGGAAGAAGGUUUUCGGAUUGUAAACUCCUUUUAAGGGGGAAGAGCAGAAGACGGUACCCCUUGAAUAAGCCACGGCUAACUACGUGCCAGCAGCCGCGGUAAUACGUAGGUGGCAAGCGUUGUCCGGAUUUACUGGGUGUAAAGGGCGUGCAGCCGGAGAGACAAGUCAGAUGUGAAAUCCACGGGCUCAACCCGUGAACUGCAUUUGAAACUGUUUCCCUUGAGUGUCGGAGAGGUAAUCGGAAUUCCUUGUGUAGCGGUGAAAUGCGUAGAUAUAAGGAAGAACACCAGUGGCGAAGGCGGAUUACUGGACGAUAACUGACGGUGAGGCGCGAAAGCGUGGGGAGCAAACAGGAUUAGAUACCCCAGUAGUC